UUAAGCGACUAAGCGUACACGGUGGAUGCCCUGGCAGUCAGAGGCGAUGAAGGACGUGCUAAUCUGCGAAAAGCGUCGGUAAGGUGAUAUGAACCGUUACAGCCGGCGAUGUCCGAAUGGGGAAACCCAGUGUGAUUCGUCACACUAUCGUUAACUGAAUACAUAGGUUAACGAGGCGAACCGGGGGAACUGAAACAUCUAAGUACCCCGAGGAAAAGAAAUCAACCGAGAUUCCCCCAGUAGCGGCGAGCGAACGGGGAGCAGCCCAGAGUCUGAAUCAGCUUGUGUGUUAGUGGAACGGUCUGGAAAGUCCGACGGUACAGGGUGAUAGUCCCGUACACCAAAAUGCACAGGUUGUGAACUCGAAGAGUAGGGCGGGACACGUGGUAUCCUGUCUGAAUAUGGGGGGACCAUCCUCCAAGGCUAAAUACUCCUGACUGACCGAUAGUGAACCAGUACCGUGAGGGAAAGGCGAAAAGAACCCCGGCGAGGGGAGUGAAAAAGAACCUGAAACCGUGUACGUACAAGCAGUGGGAGCACCUUUAUGGUGUGACUGCGUACCUUUUGUAUAAUGGGUCAGCGACUUAUAUUCUGUAGCAAGGUUAACCGUAUAGGGGAGCCGCAGGGAAACCGAGUCUUAACUGGGCGUUAAGUUGCAGGGUAUAGACCCGAAACCCGGUGAUCUAGCCAUGGGCAGGUUGAAGGUUGGGUAACACUAACUGGAGGACCGAACCGACUAAUGUUGAAAAAUUAGCGGAUGACUUGUGGCUGGGGGUGAAAGGCCAAUCAAACCGGGAGAUAGCUGGUUCUCCCCGAAAGCUAUUUAGGUAGCGCCUCGUGAAUUCAUCUUCGGGGGUAGAGCACUGUUUCGGCUAGGGGGUCAUCCCGACUUACCAACCCGAUGCAAACUACGAAUACCGAAGAAUGUUAUCACGGGAGACACACGGCGGGUGCUAACGUCCGUCGUGAAGAGGGAAACAACCCAGACCGCCAGCUAAGGUCCCAAAGUCACAGUUAAGUGGGAAACGAUGUGGGAAGGCACAGACAGCCAGGAUGUUGGCUUAGAAGCAGCCAUCAUUUAAAGAAAGCGUAAUAGCUCACUGGUCGAGUCGGCCUGCGCGGAAGAUGUAACGGGGCUAAACUGUGCACCGAAGCUGCGGCAGCGACACUAUGUGUUGUUGGGUAGGGGAGCGUUCUGUAAGCCUGCGAAGGUGGCCUGUGAGGGUUGCUGGAGGUAUCAGAAGUGCGAAUGCUGACAUAAGUAACGAUAAUGCGGGUGAAAAGCCCGCACGCCGGAAGACCAAGGGUUCCUGUCCAACGUUAAUCGGGGCAGGGUGAGUCGACCCCUAAGGCGAGGCCGAAAGGCGUAGUCGAUGGGAAACAGGUUAAUAUUCCUGUACUUGGUGUUACUGCGAAGGGGGACGGAGAAGGCUAUGUUAGCCGGGCGACGGUUGUCCCGGUUUAAGCAUGUAGGCGGAGGUUCCAGGUAAAUCCGGUACCUUUUAACGCUGAGGUGUGAUGACGAGGCACUACGGUGCUGAAGUAACAAAUGCCCUGCUUCCAGGAAAAGCCUCUAAGCAUCAGGUAACAUUGAAUCGUACCCCAAACCGACACAGGUGGUCAGGUAGAGAAUACCAAGGCGCUUGAGAGAACUCGGGUGAAGGAACUAGGCAAAAUGGUGCCGUAACUUCGGGAGAAGGCACGCUGAUAUGUAGGUGAAGCCCCUGCGGGUGGAGCUGAAAUCAGUCGAAGAUACCAGCUGGCUGCAACUGUUUAUUAAAAACACAGCACUGUGCAAACACGAAAGUGGACGUAUACGGUGUGACGCCUGCCCGGUGCCGGAAGGUUAAUUGAUGGGGUUAUCCGUAAGGAGAAGCUCUUGAUCGAAGCCCCGGUAAACGGCGGCCGUAACUAUAACGGUCCUAAGGUAGCGAAAUUCCUUGUCGGGUAAGUUCCGACCUGCACGAAUGGCGUAAUGAUGGCCAGGCUGUCUCCACCCGAGACUCAGUGAAAUUGAACUCGCUGUGAAGAUGCAGUGUACCCGCGGCAAGACGGAAAGACCCCGUGAACCUUUACUAUAGCUUGACACUGAACAUUGAGCCUUGAUGUGUAGGAUAGGUGGGAGGCUUUGAAGCGUGGACGCCAGUCUGCGUGGAGCCAACCUUGAAAUACCACCCUUUAAUGUUUGAUGUUCUAACGUUGGCCCCUUAUCGGGGUUGCGGACAGUGUCUGGUGGGUAGUUUGACUGGGGCGGUCUCCUCCCAAAGAGUAACGGAGGAGCACGAAGGUUAGCUAAUCCUGGUCGGACAUCAGGAGGUUAGUGCAAUGGCAUAAGCUAGCUUGACUGCGAGCGUGACGGCGCGAGCAGGUGCGAAAGCAGGUCAUAGUGAUCCGGUGGUUCUGAAUGGAAGGGCCAUCGCUCAACGGAUAAAAGGUACUCCGGGGAUAACAGGCUGAUACCGCCCAAGAGUUCAUAUCGACGGCGGUGUUUGGCACCUCGAUGUCGGCUCAUCACAUCCUGGGGCUGAAGUAGGUCCCAAGGGUAUGGCUGUUCGCCAUUUAAAGUGGUACGCGAGCUGGGUUUAGAACGUCGUGAGACAGUUCGGUCCCUAUCUGCCGUGGGCGCUGGAGAAUUGAGGGGGGCUGCUCCUAGUACGAGAGGACCGGAGUGGACGCAUCACUGGUGUUCGGGUUGUCAUGCCAAUGGCAUUGCCCGGUAGCUAAAUGCGGAAGAGAUAAGUGCUGAAAGCAUCUAAGCACGAAACUUGCCCCGAGAUGAGUUCUCCCUGAGACUUUAAGUCUCCUGAAGGAACGUUAAAGACGAUGACGUUGAUAGGUCGGGUGUGUAAGCGUAGCGAUACGUUGAGCUAACCGAUACUAAUGAACCGUGAGGCUUAACCUU
rnacentral:rRNA from 1 species